rnacentral:rRNA from 1 species
UAUGCAAGAUUAGCUAGUUGGUGAGGUAAUGGCUCACCAAGGCGACGAUCUCUAACUGGUCUUAGAGGAUGAUCAGUCACACUGGAACUGAGACACGGUCCAGACUCCUACGGGAGGCAGCAGUAGGGAAUAUUGCGCAAUGGGGGAAACCCUGACGCAGCGACGCCGCGUGAGUGAUGAAGGCCUUCGGGUCGUAAAGCUCUGUCGUAUGGGAAUAACACAAUGAAUGUACCAUGCAAGAAAGGAUCGGCUAACUUCGUGCCAGCAGCCGCGGUAAGACGAGGGAUCCUAGCGUUGUUCGGAAUCAUUGGGCGUAAAGCGGGUGUAGGCGGGCUUCUAAGUCAGAUGUGAAAUCCCAGGGCUCAACCCUGGAAGUGCAUUUGAUACUGGAAGUCUUGAGUGUGGUAGAGGUUACUGGAAUUGUUGGUGUAGUGGUGAAAUACGUAGAUAUCAACAGGAAUACCGGAGGCGAAGGCGAGUAACUGGGCC